rnacentral:rRNA from 1 species
CGUCUUCCGAUCGCGUGUCCCAAGUAGCGCGGGCCUCGUGGAAUCCCGCGUGAAUCCGCACCGACCGUGGUGUAAGUCUAAGCAUACCUGUCUGACCGAUAGCGUACCAGUACCGUGAGGGAAAGGUGAAAAGCACCCCGGGAGGGGAGUGAAAGAGUUCCUGAAACCGUGCGCCUACGAUCCGUCGGAGCCUCCUUGUGGGGUGACGGCGUGCCUAUCGAAAAAUGAGUCUGCGAGUCAGUGAUGCGUGGCGAGGCUAACCCGUCGUGGGGCAGCCGUAGCGAAGGCGAGUCCGAACAGGGCGUUUCUAUAGUCGCGUGUCCUGGACCCGAAGCGGGAUGAUCUAGCCCUGGGCAGGUUGAAGCGCGGGUAAGACCGCGUGGAGGACCGAACCCACCUGGGUUGAAAACCGGGGGGAUGACCUGGGGCUAGGGGUGAAAGGCCAAUCAAAUUCCGUGAUAGCUGGUUCUCUCCGAAAUGCAUUUAGGUGCAGCGUCGGCUUAUUGCAUCGCGGGGGUAGAGCUACCGGAUGCUUGCGGGCCCUUGUGGGGUACCAACAGCAGCCGAACUCCGAAUACCGUUGAUGUGUAUGCCGGCAGUGAGUCGGCGGGGGAUAAGCUCCGUCGUCGAGAGGGAGACAGCCCAGACCGUCGUCCGAGGUCCCCAAGCGUGUGCUAAGUGGGAAAGGAUGUGGGGCCGCAUAGACAGCCAGGAGGUUGGCUCAGAAGCAGCCAUCCUUGAAAGAGUGCGUAACAGCUCACUGGUCUAGUGGUCCCGCGCCGACAAUGUAGCGGGGCUCAAGCACACCACCGAAGACGCGGCGGCGCGUGUAUGCGCGCCGGGUAGGAGAGCGUCCUGCAAGGGGCGAAGCGGCCGGGUGACCGUGCCGUGGACUUUGCGGGAGUGAGAAUGCAGACAUGAGUAGCGAGAGACGGGUGAGGAUCCCGUCCGCCGGAUGACCAAGGGUUCCGGGGCCACGUUCGUCGUCCCCGGGUGAGUCGGGUCCUAAGGCGAGGCCGACAGGCGUAGUCGAAUGGAUGAACGGGUGGAUAUUCCCGUACCGGCAGCGAACCGACAGGACCGAGGCGGUGAGUACUAACCUCCGUCGCGGGCCGUUCCCCUCCUUCGGGUGGGGUCCGGCGCGUGGCGUUGGGAGCGUAGCCGUGGUAGGUGAGCGCAGGGGUGACACGGAAUGGGAGCCGGCCGCGGAGGUGGUUUUCCGUGGUCAAGCACGCAGCCAGUCGCACAGGCAAAUCCGUGCGGCGCGUAUGGCGAGGUGCGAUGAUGGGAGCCGUUUCGGCUCGAUAUCCGGUGGUCCAGGCCGUCGAGAAAAGCCCCGGCGUCAGGCGCGUUGCCGCCCGUACCCCAAACCGACACUGGUGGUCAGGUAGAGAAUACCAAGGCGAUCGAGCGAAUCCUGGUCAAGGAACUCGGCAAACCGCUCCCGUGCCUUCGGCAUAAGGGAGACCCCCGCGGGUGAACGGACAUGCUCCGGGAGCGUGUGGGGGUGGCACAGACCAGGGGGUAGCGACUGUUUACCAAAAACACAGGUGCAUGCGAAGGCGUAAGCCGCUGUAUAUGCACUGACGCCUGCCCGGUGCCGGAAGGUUAAGAGGAUCCGUCAGCCCCUCUUGGGGGUGAAGCGGUGAAUUCAAGCCCCGGUAAACGGCGGUGGUAACUAUAACCAUCCUAAGGUAGCGAAAUUCCUUGUCGGGUAAGUUCCGACCUGCACGAAUGGCGUAACGACUUCCCCGCUGUCUCGACCAGGAGCUCGGCGAAAUUGCAGUACGAGUAAAGAUGCUCGUUAAGCGCAGAAGGACGAAAAGACCCCGGGACCUUUACUAUACCUUGGUAUUGGCGUCAGUCGCGGAUUGUGUAGCAUAGGCGGGAGGCUUCGAGGCGCGGGCGCCAGCCCGCGCGGAGCCGCAAGGUGAAAUACCGCUCUGUUCUCGUUUGACGUCUCACCUCGAACGGUCAUCCUGUUCAGGGACAGUGCCUGGCGGGUAGUUUAACUGGGGCGGUUGCCUCCCAAAGAGUAACGGAGGCGCUCAAAGGUCCGCUCAGCCCGGUUGGCAAUCGGGUGUCGAGUGCAAUCGCACAAGCGGGCUUGACUGCGAGGACGGCGGUCCGAGCAGGGACGAAAGUCGGAGAUAGUGAUCCGGUGCCGGCGCACGGGCGCGGCAUCGCUCAACGGAUAAAAGGUACCCCGGGGAUAACAGGCUGAUCAUUCCCAAGAGUCCAUAUCGACGGGAUGGUUUGGCACCUCGAUGUCGGCUCGUCGCAUCCUGGGGCUG